UACGGAGGGUGCAAGCGUUGCUCGGAAUUAUUGGGCGUAAAGGGUAGGUAGGUGGUCUCAUUUGUCAGGGGUGAAAGCCUUGGGCUUAACUCAAGAAGUGCCCCUGAAACGGUGAGACUGGAGUCCUGGAGAGGGUCGUGGAAUUCCCGGUGUAGCGGUGAAAUGCGUAGAGAUCGGGAGGAACACCAGAGGCGAAGGCGGCGACCUGGACAGGUACUGACACUCAACUACGAAAGCGUGGGGAGCAAACAGG
rnacentral:rRNA from 1 species